rnacentral:rRNA from 1 species
AAAUUGAAGAGUUUGAUCAUGGCUCAGAUUGAACGCUGGCGGCAGGCCUAACACAUGCAAGUCGAACGGUAACAGGAAACAGCUUGCUGUUUCGCUGACGAGUGGCGGACGGGUGAGUAAUGUCUGGGAAGCUGCCUGAUGGAGGGGGAUAACUACUGGAAACGGUAGCUAAUACCGCAUAAUGUCGCAAGACCAAAGAGGGGGACCUUCGGGCCUCUUGCCAUCGGAUGUGCCCAGAUGGGAUUAGCUAGUAGGUGGGGUAACGGCUCACCUAGGCGACGAUCCCUAGCUGGUCUGAGAGGAUGACCAGCCACACUGGAACUGAGACACGGUCCAGACUCCUACGGGAGGCAGCAGUGGGGAAUAUUGCACAAUGGGCGCAAGCCUGAUGCAGCCAUGCCGCGUGUAUGAAGAAGGCCUUCGGGUUGUAAAGUACUUUCAGCGGGGAGGAAGGGAGUAAAGUUAAUACCUUUGCUCAUUGACGUUACCCGCAGAAGAAGCACCGGCUAACUCCGUGCCAGCAGCCGCGGUAAUACGGAGGGUGCAAGCGUUAAUCGGAAUUACUGGGCGUAAAGCGCACGCAGGCGGUUUGUUAAGUCAGAUGUGAAAUCCCCGGGCUCAACCUGGGAACUGCAUCUGAUACUGGCAAGCUUGAGUCUCGUAGAGGGGGGUAGAAUUCCAGGUGUAGCGGUGAAAUGCGUAGAGAUCUGGAGGAAUACCGGUGGCGAAGGCGGCCCCCUGGACGAAGACUGACGCUCAGGUGCGAAAGCGUGGGGAGCAAACAGGAUUAGAUACCCUGGUAGUCCACGCCGUAAACGAUGUCGACUUGGAGGUUGUGCCCUUGAGGCGUGGCUUCCGGAGCUAACGCGUUAAGUCGACCGCCUGGGGAGUACGGCCGCAAGGUUAAAACUCAAAUGAAUUGACGGGGGCCCGCACAAGCGGUGGAGCAUGUGGUUUAAUUCGAUGCAACGCGAAGAACCUUACCUGGUCUUGACAUCCACGGAAGUUUUCAGAGAUGAGAAUGUGCCUUCGGGAACCGUGAGACAGGUGCUGCAUGGCUGUCGUCAGCUCGUGUUGUGAAAUGUUGGGUUAAGUCCCGCAACGAGCGCAACCCUUAUCCUUUGUUGCCAGCGGUCCGGCCGGGAACUCAAAGGAGACUGCCAGUGAUAAACUGGAGGAAGGUGGGGAUGACGUCAAGUCAUCAUGGCCCUUACGACCAGGGCUACACACGUGCUACAAUGGCGCAUACAAAGAGAAGCGACCUCGCGAGAGCAAGCGGACCUCAUAAAGUGCGUCGUAGUCCGGAUUGGAGUCUGCAACUCGACUCCAUGAAGUCGGAAUCGCUAGUAAUCGUGGAUCAGAAUGCCACGGUGAAUACGUUCCCGGGCCUUGUACACACCGCCCGUCACACCAUGGGAGUGGGUUGCAAAAGAAGUAGGUAGCUUAACCUUCGGGAGGGCGCUUACCACUUUGUGAUUCAUGACUGGGGUGAAGUCGUAACAAGGUAACCGUAGGGGAACCUGCGGUUGGAUCACCUCCUUACCUUAAAGAAGC